UGCUGUUGAAAAGAUAGCUGGAAGAGAGUUGGGCAUAUGAACAAUUUGGAGAGUUGGAUGUGCAACAAUCUUAGGGGCAGCAGCCUUCAUGCGCUGAAAGCUGCAUGUGCUACUCAUUAAGUAACUCAGAUUCUGACUAAUUAUUAUCAGAUUAUUCACUUCUGAGCAAAUAAGAUUAUUUACAAGGAAAGCCCAAGUGGUUUCCUGGCUAAAAAGGGGCCAUCAUUUUUUGCUGCAAGCAGCUGUCUCCUAAAGCAGCUUUUGCAUGUGUGAACAGCCAGCUAUUGUUUUGCUGAUUCUAAGCAAACUGUGGCCAAGGCUGAACAGCUUCAUCAUUUCUUUGGAAAGGAUUGUACCCCUUUAAGAACACCAAGUGGGAGGUGAUAUAGGCACUGCCAUAAAAACAAGUACCUGUGCGGACUGCCCUGUUCUGCUCACCUGAGCCUUGCACAGCUGUCAGGACACUGCCCUCCUUGGUUUGUCUGGCAGGCUGAACAUCUCCAUCACACAGUUUUGCUGCCUGACAGCAGAAAAUGGACACCCAAACAAAGCAGCUUGAUUUUAUCUGCAAGACUAGAGGACACUGAGAAGCUUCAGACUAUUGACAUGGAGAAGAUCAUGGUGGAAACGAACCUGGCCCCUUGGGAAAUACUGCUGGUCAUAUUUGCUGCUGUGCUGAUAAUGAGUUUUCUCAUGUUUCUGCCCCCCACUGCAGUGGUGAUCUGGAGAAUGAAACAUGUACCACAGAUCUCGCUGCAUGGCUCAGUGUGAGCCAGACCUGGUACAAGCUGUAACACCACCGAUCCCUUUAAAGAAUGGUUCAGAAUAAUAACAUCUCUCAGGUUCAGGCACUUUUACUGCCCAGGAUCCAUCCAAAAGGAAUGGGUGUCCCAAUCUGUUACUGCUAUGUUCCUGUGAAAAGAGAACGUGUAUAAUUUUGUCUUCAUGUACUACAGUUCUCAACACUUUGACUUCCUUUUUUUGGCUAUGUUGUAAUUACUGUUGUUGGCUUAGUUCCUAGACAGACUCUUGUCUUGCAUUGUAAUGGACUGAAAACAAGACUGAAAGAGAAGUGAGCAUAAUACAGCAUUGUUUUUGCUUAAUUAAUAUCUGGGAAGACUCCUUUUCUACAGUUACGCCGUAAAUAUUACCAAAGCCUUUAGCUGAGAAGACUGCUACCUAUGCAAGUGUAUAUGCCAAAAUCAUGAAAUGUAUUCUAGGGAGGUAGUGCUUUACUCUGGUUGUAACAUGAAAUGUAACAAACCUGACAAGAAUGGCACAAUAAAUGAGCAUCUUGCAUUUCUU